AUGAUAAGCAAAAUGUUGCUGUAGAGUGGCCCUUCUAAUUCAGCACUCACUAUAACAUAUUACUGGAUAAUUUGCCAAUUAGUGGUGGUUUCACAUUUAAAAUUGUUUGUUUGUAGUGCAUGUAGAUAUUAGUUUAACCACUUUAGUUAAGUUGGGCAAAUUUGCGACAAAUCUUAUUCUAAAAAAAGUAAAAAAUAGUUAAAAGUACAAGUUUCCCUUGAAAUGACAUGAGGCAACAUGUAUAGUAGAAAAUACCCCAGUAAAUUACCUCAAAACUGUCCUCUAGUACAGUUUUUAGUUAAAUCCCUCCAUGUGCCAAGUCCACAAUACAGUGUUUUGUGGACAGUAAAUACUGUCAUUACUUACUAUUGCGGUCCUCAUUUCUAGGAAACUAGUUCUAUGGGGUCAAUUUAGCCUCUUAUAAACUUGAUCCUUCCUCUCUUUGCAUGAAUAACAAUGCUACAUCUGCACCUGAUUCCACUCUCCUUUCUCCUCUUCUAGCCUGGAAGCAGCCGGCCUGAGCACCUGGUGUGUAUGGAACUGGGCAUCCUUAUUGAUUGCUGCAGGAGGAGUGGUCCCAGACAUUGUGGCUCCCUCAUUGUAUCCCCAGCAUAGAAAGCAACCAACAUAAGAAAAAAAGCAUGAGAGACCCUAGAGACACCUAUCAGCCUAAACCUCUCUCUCAUUAAUGACCACAUUCAAAGUGCCUGUAGCCUUUUUUUUUGUUUAGAGCAAAUUAAUGUUGGUUUCACGGUUGUGAAAAUUAUUGACCGAAUGCUCCUGAUUGCUUCCCUUGAUAACACCAACAAAUCAAAUCUGAAACAUUCAAAGUUGUCCGAGGCGCAGCACGUAAUGAGAAACCUCUUUGUUCUUUAGAACAGCGUGUGUUUUCGAAACAUGUGUUUUAGAACCUAAUCAAUAUCAGAAAUGAGAAGAGAAAAAGUGAAGGUCUUGAAACUUUAAACUUUGCAACUUUUCAAAGCGUAAUUACAGUGUACAAAUAGGAUUUUACCCAAAGCAGUGUGCAUGUUGUUUUUUCACGCCUUGAAGGACAUUUCAAAGGUUUGGCCGAGGCUGAAACCACAGGGGGACAGCUGGUUAGCGUAGGAAAGUGUUAGUGAGGAGUUCAUGUGUGCAGCUCUCCCUAACUGCUGUCAGCAAUGCUAUAUGGGUGCUCUGUGAAGUAGGCGAUAAGCAAUCUGCUCUAAUAAGGAGAGUGAAUAGAGUUGAAAGUGUUGUGUUGUAGCUGUACGCUGUGGAGAGUUAUUCGGACCAUACCACUGUCUAUGUACAUAGUAGAAUAAGCAAUAGGCUACAGUUAUUUUAAGGUUAAAGUUUGUUUCACAGUGUGGAUGAAACUUUGUUCUUUGUUUCUCAAAAACAUAUUUCCAGAUUCAAACUCAGAUUUUUAAUGGACUGUACAACUUAGAUGACUUCAGCAUCAUUCUUAAAGAAGGCACCUUAUUUAUCAGUAACUUUUAGCUCAUCCAGUUGUAAUAAGAAAAUUAAUUUAGACAUAAAGUACCCAAUAGUUCAAAUAGUGCUUUGGCAAGUACUUUUCCCUUUUACUUAUAUACUUACAUCGUGAAAUUUAAACACAUUACUGAUACUCGAUUCCCAGAUGUUUGUGAUUGCAAAGGUUGCAGGUCCUCUGUGCUCCUGGGAAUUCUGGUGUUUCCAGAGUUACCAAUGUACUCGGACAUGAAGAUGACACGUCGAGCUCUGUGUGAGCCUGCUUUUCCACUUCUGGCUGUUGAUCCGUCAUUGGACCAGCUGUUGUUAAUUUUUGUAGGCCGUCCGUCUCUUUAGCCCGAAGCUCCCAAACCGCACAGCCGGCCAGUCCGUGGUGGCCUUUUAUUAUGAUGUCAGCACUUCGCUUAAAGAGCAUUCAAUAUCUCCAGGACGACCGUUGGUGGAACAUCAAUAGAAUAAUACAGAUCCACACAGCGGACAGCUAUUCCUCAUAGCCGGUCAGUUCAUUUGCUCAUUGAUUUAUUGGUGGCUGACAGCGUAAAUGAAUUAAGUAGCAGUGAUUAUCGCGAACAAACAGGUUGUUUGUUAGUUUUUGCCUGUGUUUGUUCACUGUGGUUAAGAGUUUCAGCGCCGGCCGCGUAGAGGUGGACGAAUGCUCGCACACACAUGCGUUUAAAUCUGCAAACGCUCUCAUGCAAGUGCACAAAACUAUACAAAGAAUUCUGACAAAAUGGGGAGAUAGAGGCUCCUGAGGCUAAAAACUACAAAGGAAGGAGGGAAUAAAGCAGCAAAACAAAUGAGAGAAGCAGUGGCGUAGAGGAGAAGGCUAAUAGGCCUGGUCUGAUUUGCAGGCCUAUUUAAAAGAUGGUGAUCUAGAAAACAAGCAAAGCCUUUGUGAGACAGUUGCACCAAAAUCACCCACAUAAAUCAAGGUGUGAUUACUCCAGGAGCCGGAGUUAUUGGGUGCUAACAUAGCAGCGCUCGCUCUUGAACGUUAUUAACACUCUUAAUAGUGAGCGACAGCUUGUAACAGAAGCCCCAAUCUUUCUUUUACAAUCCCAACAGCUGGAGAAACAACAGGAAACUUAAAAAAAAUUUAAAAAAAUCUUAUUCAUUC